CACUCUAAGGAAGACUGCCGGUGACAAACCGGAGGAAGGUGGGGAGUGACGUCAAGUACAUCAUGGCCCUUACGGCCUGGGCUACACACGUGCUACAAUGGUCGGUACAAAGGGUUGCCAAGCCGCGAGGUGGAGCUAAUCCCAUAAAACCGAUCGUAGUCCGGAUCGCAGUCUGCAACUCGACUGCGUGAAGUCGGAAUCGCUAGUAAUCGUGAAUCAGAAUGUCACGGUGAAUACGUUCCCGGGCCUU
rnacentral:rRNA from 1 species